AUCAGUCCAGCCCCAUAUAAACCCCAGCCUCAUCUCCUGCAAUGACAGUAACAAGAGGAGGGAGAAAUGGGAAAACUGGAGAAAGCAACAACAUGGAAGAAAAAAAAAGAUAAAUGGCUUUGAAAAAGUGCCACGAGGAAUGAUUCUCAUGGGAAUAAAUACACUGGACUCUCAAAGAGAGGAAGAUUCAUCUCAGUUCAGAGAUUACACCCAAGGCCCUCGCACCACUUAGAACAGAAUGCUAGUGAGUCUUAAAUCAGGCCUGGAUUAAAGGCAAUCCACUGUUCAAGAGUGAAAUUCACCCAUCUUUUGGAUGGCCAGUGGAGAACCUUCUAUCCCAUCCAAGUCCUGUAUAAGCUCUGUGCAUCUCCUACUGCUUUUAUAAGAAUCUCCACUGCAGACCUGCAUAGAAUAGUCAAAAGGAGAAGAUGGGUCAUGAGAGAAGCUGUGGGUCCAUAUAUAUGCUGAUCCAGUAGCAGCAGAUUCCAAACCGGUAGGCAUUCAGCUCAUGCACAUUUUUGUGAUGGAAGGGAAUAUACAGGAAUAAGAGUUUAAAUACAGGCAGUGUUUAACAACAUCCCUAGCCAAUUCAGCACAAGAUCAUUAUACAGUUGA